UACGAAGGGGGCUAGCGUUGUUCGGAAUUACUGGGCGUAAAGCGCACGUAGGCGGAUAUUUAAGUCAGGGGUGAAAUCCCAGAGCUCAACUCUGGAAACUGCCUUUGAUACUGGGUAUCUUGAGUAUGGAAGAGGUAAGUGGAAUUGCGAGUGUAGAGGUGAAAUUCGUAGAUAUUCGCAGGAACACCAGUGGCGAAGGCGGCUUACUGGUCCAUAACUGACGCUGAGGUG
rnacentral:rRNA from 1 species